rnacentral:rRNA from 1 species
GAUGAACGCUGGCGGCGUGCUUAACACAUGCAAGUCGAACGAAGAUAUUUAGAAUGAGAGCUUCGGCAGGAUUUUUAUCUAUCUUAGUGGCGGACGGGUGAGUAACGUGUGGGCAACCUGCCCUGUACUGGGGAAUAAUCAUUGGAAACGAUGACUAAUACCGCAUGUGGUCCUCGGAAGGCAUCUUCUGAGGAAGAAAGGAUUUAUUCGGUACAGGAUGGGCCCGCAUCUGAUUAGCUAGUUGGUGAGAUAACAGCCCACCAAGGCGACGAUCAGUAGCCGACCUGAGAGGGUGAUCGGCCACAUUGGGACUGAGACACGGCCCAAACUCCUACGGGAGGCAGCAGUGGGGAAUAUUGCACAAUGGGCGAAAGCCUGAUGCAGCAACGCCGCGUGAAGGAUGAAGGGUUUCGGCUCGUAAACUUCUAUCAAUAGGGAAGAAACAAAUGACGGUACCUAAAUAAGAAGCCCCGGCUAACUACGUGCCAGCAGCCGCGGUAAUACGUAGGGGGCAAGCGUUAUCCGGAAUUACUGGGUGUAAAGGGAGCGUAGGCGGCAUGGUAAGCCAGAUGUGAAAGCCUUGGGCUUAACCCGAGGAUUGCAUUUGGAACUAUCAAGCUAGAGUACAGGAGAGGAAAGCGGAAUUCCUAGUGUAGCGGUGAAAUGCGUAGAUAUUAGGAAGAACACCAGUGGCGAAGGCGGCUUUCUGGACUGAAACUGACGCUGAGGCUCGAAAGCGUGGGGAGCANACAGG